GGGCAGCUGUCUCAGAUUAGCCAUGCAUGUGUAAGUAUAAGCGAUUGUACUGUGAGACUGCGAACGGCUCAUUAUAUCAGUAAUAAUUUCUUCGGUAGUUUCUUUUAUAUGGAUACCUGCAGUAAUUCUGGAAAUAAUACAUGCUGUAAGAGCCCUGUAUGGGGCUGCACUUAUUAGAUUGAAGCCGAUUUUAUUGGUGAAUCAUGAUAAUUGAGCAGAUUGACUUUUUUGGUCAAUGAAUCGUUUGAGUUUCUGCCCCAUCAGUUGUCGACGGUAGUGUAUUGGACUACGGGGACUAUAACGGGGGACGGAAAGUUAGGGCUCGACUCCGGAAAGGGAGCCUGAAAAACGGCUACCAUAUCCAAGGAUAGCAGCAGGGGCGUAAAUUACCCACUGGGGACUCCACGAGGUAGUGACAAAAAAUAUCGAUGCGAAGCGGGUAUGCGUUUUGCUAUCGGAAUGAAAGACAAUGUAAAACCCUCAUCGAGGAUCAACAUGGAGGGCAAGUCUGGGGCCAGCAGCCGCGGUAAUUCCAGCUCCAGAAGCAUAUGCUAAAGUGGUUGCAGUUAAAAGCUCGAGUAGUUGAAUUCCUGGCAUGGGCAACCGGUGCCUUCCCUGAAUGGGGAUGGAUUGUCUGUGUUGCCUUGGCCAUCAUUAUCCAUCCUUAUAGGAGAGAAAUCUUUCCACUGAUAAUCAAAACGCAAGUGUUUCACAAGCCAGGUCGAUGACCCGGUAUUGUUAUUUAUGGGAAUGAUAAGUAUGAGAACUGGAUGCUUAUUUUUGUGGUUGCCCACCCUGAGUAAUGUUUAAAUAGGAAACUGUGGGGGAUCUUUGUUAUUUAGAGACUAAGGGGAAAAUCUCUUUGAUUUCCAAAAGGCGAACUAGACCGAAAGGCCAUUUACAAAGCAUGUUUUCUUAAUUCAAGAACGAAGUCGGGGGAUCGAAGAUAUUUGGAUACCUGUAGUUAUUAGCCUGAAAAGCGAGGCGGAUUGGAGGAUUUACGACAGCACAUGAUAGUUGUCAUGGACUGCAGCAGCUAGCUACAUGACUGAAAUCAUAAGUACUGAUGGAUUCACGGAGGCAGUAUGGUCGCAGGGCUGAAACUUAAAGGAAUUGACGGAAGGGCACCCCCAGGAGUGGAGCCUGCGGCUUAAUUUGACUCAACACGGGAAAACUUACCAGGUCCAGACAUAGGUAGGAUUGACAGAUUGAGAGUUCUUUCAUGAUUUUAUGGGGGGUGGGGCAUGGCCGUUUUUAGUUGGUGGAGUGAUUUGUUUGGUUAAUUCCGUUAACGAACGAGACCUCGGCUUAUUAAAUAGUGCGUGGUAUGGCAACAUAGUACGUUUUAACUUUUUAGAGGGACAUGUCCGGUUUACGGGCAGGAAGUUCGAGGCAAUAACAGGUUUGUGAUGCCCUUAGAUGUUUUGGGCCGCACGCGCGCUACACUGAUGGGUUCAUCGGGUUUUAAUUUUAUUUUUUGGAAUUGAGUGCUUGGUCGGAAGGCCUGGCUAAUCCUUGGAACGCUCAUCGUGCUGGGGCUAGAUUUUUGCAAUUAUUAAUCUCCAACGAGGAAUUCCUAGUAAACGCAAGUCAUCAGCUUGCAUUGAAUACGUCCCUGCCCUUUGUACACACCGCCCGUCGCACCUACCGAUUGAACGGUCCGAUGAAACCAUGGGAUGUUUCUGUUUGGAUUGAUUUUUGGACAGAGGCAGAACUCGGGUGAAUCCUAUGUAAAGAAUGUA
rnacentral:rRNA from 1 species